UACGUAGGGUCCGAGCGUUGUCCGGAAUUAUUGGGCGUAAAGGGCUCGUAGGCGGUUUGUCGCGUCGGAAGUGAAAACUUACAGCUUAGCUGUGGGCGUGCUUUCGAUACGGGCAGACUUGAGGUAUGCAGGGGAGAACGGAAUUCCUGGUGUAGCGGUGAAAUGCGCAGAUAUCAGGAGGAACACCGGUGGCGAAGGCGGUUCUCUGGGCAUUACCUGACGCUGAGGAGCGAAAGUGUGGGGAGCGAACAGG
rnacentral:rRNA from 1 species